rnacentral:rRNA from 1 species
UACGAAGGGGGCGAGCAUUGUUCGGAAUUACUGGGCGUAAAGGGUGCGUAGGCGGAUUGGAUAGUCAGAUGUGAAAGCCCAGGGCUCAACCCUGGAAUUGCAUUUGAUACUGCCAGUCUGGAGUAUUGGAGAGGAGCGUGGAAUUCUCGGUGUAGAGGUGAAAUUCGUAGAUAUCGAGAGGAACACCAGUGGCGUAGGCGACGCUCUGGCCAAAUACUGACGCUGAGGCACGAAAGUGUGGGGAGCAAACAGG